rnacentral:rRNA from 1 species
GACGAACGCUGGCGGCGUGCUUAACACAUGCAAGUCGAACGGAAAGGCCCUGCUUUUGUGGGGUGCUCGAGUGGCGAACGGGUGAGUAACACGUGAGUAACCUGCCCUUGACUUUGGGAUAACUUCAGGAAACUGGGGCUAAUACCGGAUAGGAGCUCCUGCUGCAUGGUGGGGGUUGGAAAGUUUCGGCGGUUGGGGAUGGACUCGCGGCUUAUCAGCUUGUUGGUGGGGUAGUGGCUUACCAAGGCUUUGACGGGUAGCCGGCCUGAGAGGGUGACCGGCGACAUUGGGACUGAGAUACGGCGCAGACUCCUACGGGAGGCAGCAGUGGGGAAUAUUGCACAAUGGGCGGAAGCCUGAUGCAGCAGCGCCGCGUGCGGGAUGACGGCCUUCGGGUUGUAAACCGCUUUCGCCUGUGACGAAGCGUGAGUGACGGUAAUGGGUAAAGAAGCACCGGCUAACUACGUG